AACGCGAAGAACCUUACCUGGGUUAAAUCCACCGGAACCUUGCAGAGAUGUAGGGGUGCCCUUCGGGGAGCCGGUGAGAAGGUGCUGCAUGGCUGUCGUCAGCUCGUGUCGUGAGAUGUUGGGUUAAGUCCCGCAACGAGCGCAACCCUUGUCGUUAGUUGCUAACAGGUCAUGCUGAGCACUCUAGCGAGACUGCCGACGUUAAGUCGGAGGAAGGUGGGGAUGACGUCAAGUCCUCAUGGCCCUCAUGCCCAGGGCUACACACGUGCUACAAUGGCCGGUACAAAGGGUUGCAAGCUCGCAAGAGUAAGCUAAUCCCAAAAAACCGGUCUCAGUUCGGAUUGGAGUCUGCAACUCGACUCCAUGAAGUUGGAAUCGCUAGUAAUCGCGGAUCAGCACGCCGCGGUGAAUACGUUCCCGGGCCUUGUACACACCGAGUAUA
rnacentral:rRNA from 1 species